rfam:Formosa agariphila KMM 3901, complete genome
UAUAUUUGCCGCUUGGAAGAAAAGCUUCCAUGUACAUAAAAAUCAUUUAAAUAAAUAUUGGAAUG